GACGAACGCUGGCGGCGUGCCUAACACAUGCAAGUCGAACGGAACUGUUUUGAAAGUUUUCUUCGGAAUGAAUCUGAUUUCGUUUAGUGGCCGACGGGUGAGUAACGCGUGAGUAACCUGCCUUCAAGAGGGGAAUAACAUUCUGAAAAGAAUGCUAAUACCGCAUGACAUAUCGGAACCACAUGGUUUUGAUAUCAAAGAUUUUAUCGCUUGAAGAUGGACUCGCGUCCGAUUAGUUAGUUGGUGAGGUAACGGCUCACCAAGACCGCGAUCGGUAGCCGGACUGAGAGGUUGAGCGGCCACAUUGGGACUGAGGCACCGCCCAGACUCCUACGGGAGGGAGCAGUGGGGGAUAUUGCGCAAGGGGGGCAACCCUGACGCAGCAACGCCGCGUGAAGGAUGAAGGUUUUCGGAUUGUAAACUUCUUUUAUUAAGGACGAAAAAUGACGGUACUUAAUGAAUAAGCUCCGGCUAACUACGUG
rnacentral:rRNA from 1 species